CGCCUCCACGAUUCCUCGCCUCUCCUGCGCCCGCCAAGGCCCCUCCCUGGCAACGAGCCAGCCGCCAAGAAGAGCGCUGAGCUCCGCCAUGCCCCGGCGGCGCUUUUCCGGAAGAGGCUCACGUGACUAAGUUCUCAAAAGAAGGUUGCUGUGAGUAACAUCAUGGGCGCCACCGUCAGCAUCGCCUCACGGCGGCUCUCAUCGGAUGCUCUGUACGGUGUGGGGCUGUGCUUGUCGGGUCUGCAGUGCCUCUCCCGCGUCGGCUUCAUCACAAUUCGCUGAAGUGUCAUGGUUUCGGCAGCCAAGAAGGCGUAAAAUCUAAUCAACGACGUGGCUCUGGACUUGGAGAAUGUGCCGAUCUUCGGGCGUCGCCGCCUGGCGUUCAUGGCCCAUAGACUCCAUGGAGCCGCCGGCUUCACCUCCUGCUUCCUUGUUGCGCACCGCUAUUUGGCGUGGGUGUACGUCCUCGCGCUCACAGUGGGGCCAUGAUAUUACAAGAAUGCACUUGGCCAAAUCCUUCGCUCGCAUGACUUCGAGCUUUAUAGGCCAUGAUGACGGUGUUGAUCUCUCUUCACGUGCGCUGUUUGUUGUACUCUUUUGUUCUUGUAUGCCGCUGCUGCUGCUGCUGUCCGCCGUCUUUCCUUGUCACCUCUGUGCAGGACUCUUCACCCAUCACAUGGCGUAUGUGCGCAUCUCACACCCCUCCCUAUACCUUCACCAACACGCUAGCAAUGAUGGCUGCCGCGACAAAACUGAAUCGUCAAGUCGUCGGCGUUGAAAAGCUGGCCGUUCGUGUGCGGACAAGCGUUGCAAGCCCCCCCCCCACACACACACACCUCUCUCCUCCCAUUAUCCGUCUCUCGCUCCCUUACCCCCUUUACUUCUCUUUGUUGGUCUCUUGGGCUUGCGAACGGGCGUGUGCGCGGUGCGCAUUAG
rnacentral:misc_RNA from 1 species